UGCAAGAAAUUAUUUUUGUAGAAAGGUGUGAGUGUGAAUGCAAGAAAAUUGGAAAAGUGAGUGGUGAAAUUUUUCCUAAGCUCUAUGUGUAUUCCACUCAAAGUCCCCAUCUUUUAUCCCCUUUUUUCUGCCCCAAAAGUCUUCCCCAUAACUCAUUUUCCUGGCUGCACCAGACAGAAAGUCCAGCCCUCUUUCCCUACUCUUUUCCUUGUUCUUUGUUUCUUUCUUCUCCCCUUCUUACAUGGCAGCCCUCCCUCUCUCACCAAAAAAAAAAUAUCCCUCUCUAAAGAAGAAAUUAAAGGGUUAACACUAAAAUUUCAGCUUCAAAUUAUUGGGGUUAGCAGGUUUUAUUUUGGAGCAGAGGGAGCCUUAGUCGAGUUGGAAGGAGCUGGUUUUAGUUUGAUAUGUACAGAUCUUAAAUUAGCAAUUUGAUGUUUAGCUUUGUAGUAUUGUAUAUUUUAGAAUCUAAAGAAAGUUGUGUACCUUAAAGUAUUAAGAGAUGUAUUAUGUGAAAGUGUGGAAAUUAAAUGACUGGUGGAUUAUGUUA